UACGUAGGUGACAAGCGUUGUCCGGAUUUACUGGGCGUAAAGAGCGCGCAGGCGGUCGAUCAAGUCGAGUGUGAAAGCCCCCGGCUCAACUGGGGGAGGGUCAUUCGAAACUGGUCGACUCGAAGGCAGGAGAGGGUAGUGGAAUUCCCGGUGUAGUGGUGAAAUGGCGUAGAUAUCGGGGAGGAACACCAGUGGCGAAGGCGACUACCUGGCCUGUUCUUGACGCUGAGGCGCGAAAGCUAGGGGAGCAAACGGG
rnacentral:rRNA from 1 species